UAGAGGAUGCCUUCGGGUUUGGCCCUGGCCUAAGUUCCUUGGAACAGGACGUCACAGAGGGUGAGAAUCCCGUAUGUGGCUGGUGGUCUAUACCCAUGUGAAGCUCCUUCGAC
rnacentral:rRNA from 1 species